ACGGGGUGCAGCAGGCGCGAAACCUUUGCAAUGUGCGCAAGCACGACAAGGUUAAUCCGAGUGUUUCCUGCUAAAGGAAUCUUUUGUUAGUCGUAAAACCACUGAUGAAUAAGGGGUGGGCAAGUUCUGGUGUCAGCCGCCGCGGUAAAACCAGCACCUCAAGUGGUCAGGAGGAUUAUUGGGCCUAAAGCAUCCGUAGCCGGCUCUGCAAGUUUUCGGUUAAAUCCAUUUGCUUAACAAAUGGGCUGCCGAAAAUACUACAUAGCUGGGGAGUGGGAGAGGUAGACGGUAUUCGGUAGGAAGGGGUAAAAUCCUUUGAUCUAUUGAGGACCACCUAUGGCGAAGGCAGUCUACCAGAACACGUUCGACGGUGAGGGAUGAAAGCUGGGGGAGCAAACCGGAUUAGAUACCCGGGUAGUCCCAGCUGUAAACGAUGCAGACUCGGUGAUGCGCUGGCUUGUGGCCAGUGCAGUGCCGCAGGGAAGCCGUUAAGUCUGCCGCCUGGGAAGUACGUACGCAAGUAUGAAACUUAAAGGAAUUGGCGGGGGAGCAC
rnacentral:rRNA from 2 species